UGCAAGUCUCAGUACAUGCCGCACUAAGGUGAAACCGCAAAAGGCUCAUUAAAUCAGUUAUGGUUCCUUGGAUCUUAAACAGUUACUUGGAUAACUGUGGUAAUUCUAGAGCUAAUACAUGCAAACAAGUCCCGACCAGAGAUGGGAGGGACGCUUUUAUUAGAUCAAAACCGAUCGGCGUCCGGCUCCGGCCGGCGCCGUCUCUUUUGGUGACUCUGGAUAACUUUUAGCCGAUCGCACGGUCAUAGUACCGGCGACGCAUCUUUCAAAUGUCUGACUUAUCAACUGUCGAUGGUAGGCUCUGCGCCUACCAUGGUUGUAACGGGUAACGGGGAAUCAGGGUUCGAUUCCGGAGAGGGAGCCUGAGAAACGGCUACCACAUCCAAGGAAGGCAGCAGGCGCGCAAAUUACCCACUCCCGGCACGGGGAGGUAGUGACGAAAAAUAACGAUACGGGACUCAUCCGAGGCCCCGUAAUCGGAAUGAGUACACUUUAAAUACUUUAACGAGUACCAAUUGGAGGGCAAGUCUGGUGCCAGCAGCCGCGGUAAUUCCAGCUCCAAUAGCGUAUAUUAAAGUUGUUGCGGUUAAAAAGCUCGUAGUUGGAUCUGUGUGCCACGCUGUCGGUUCGCCGCCCGUCGGUGUCAACUGGCAUGUCUGUGGGACGUCCUGCCGGUGGCGGUACGGGCUGCCGGCGCUGCGUAGGGGCACAACCCCGAAGCACGCCGGCGUGUCCCGGUCCGCCGAUCCAAUCCCGCCGCGGUGCUCUUCACUGAGUGUCGAGGUGGGCCGGCACGUUUACUUUGAACAAAUUAGAGUGCUCA
rnacentral:rRNA from 1 species